rnacentral:rRNA from 1 species
UAGGGAAUCUUCCGCAAUGGGCGAAAGCCUGACGGAGCAACGCCGCGUGAGUGAUGACGGUCUUCGGAUCGUAAAACUCUGUUAUUAGGGAAGAACAAAUGUGUAAGUAACUAUGCACGUCUUGACGGUACCUAAUCAGAAAGCCACGGCUAACUACGUGCCAGCAGCCGCGGUAAUACGUAGGUGGCAAGCGUUAUCCGGAAUUAUUGGGCGUAAAGCGCGCGUAGGCGGUUUUUUAAGUCUGAUGUGAAAGCCCACGGCUCAACCGUGGAGGGUCAUUGGAAACUGGAAAACUUGAGUGCAGAAGAGGAAAGUGGAAUUCCACGUGUAGCGGUGAAAUGCGCAGAGAUAUGGAGGAACACCAGUGGCGAAGGCGACUUUCUGGUCUGUAACUGACGCUGAUGUGCGAAAGCGUGGGGAUCAAACAGG